rnacentral:rRNA from 1 species
GAGGAAUAUUGGUCAAUGGGCGGAAGUCUGAACCAGCCAAGUAGCGUGCAGGAUGACGGCCCUAUGGGUUGUAAACUGCUUUUGUAUGGGGAUAAAGUCAAUCACGUGUGAUUGUUUGCAGGUACCAUACGAAUAAGGACCGGCUAAUUCCGUGCCAGCAGCCGCGGUAAUACGGAAGGUUCGGGCGUUAUCCGGAUUUAUUGGGUUUAAAGGGAGCGUAGGCCGGAGAUUAAGUGUGUUGUGAAAUGUAGACGCUCAACGUCUGACUUGCAGCGCAAACUGGUUUCCUUGAGUAUGCGCAACGUAGGCGGAAUUCGUCGUGUAGCGGUGAAAUGCUUAGAUAUGACGAAGAACUCCGAUUGCGAAGGCAGCUGACGGGAGCGCAACUGACGCUGAAGCUCGAAGGUGCGGGUAUCGAACAGGAUUAGAUACCCUGGUAGUCCGCACAGUAAACGAUGGAUGCCCGCUGUUGGUACCUAGUAUCAGCGGCUAAGCGAAAGCAUUAAGCAUCCCACCUGGGGAGUACGCCGGCAACGGUG